UAAGCUUCACAUAGCACUUCAACUACAUGGAUCUCUAUAGGUUAGCACAGAUGUAAGCUUCACAUAGCACUUCAACUACAUGGAUCUCUAUAGGUUAGCACAGAUGUAAGCUUCACAUAGCACUUCAACUACAUGGAUCUGUAUAGGUUAGCACAGAUGUAAGCUUCACAUAGCACUUCAACUACAUGGAUCUCUAUAGGUUAACGAAGUAGGAUUGAUGUAGUGCUACAAGUAUUGAAUCUAUGUUACCAUGGUUAUACAUGUAUUAUUAUCAGUGCAAUGUGGAUUGAGGUCCUGCUCAACAUUAUAUUUUUUUCAUAUGAAGUACAUUCACACAGACAGUGAUGUCUCAGGAUAACAUGGUCAUCUGGCCAUGGGAGGUAUUUCACACACACCCUAACCAAUCAGGCUUUAGCUAAAUAGCCUGUCCCAUCUAUGUAUCAUUUUGGCUGGGAUUUCAUAUACUUUCAGCUGAUACAUGGAAACUGUUUUUCCUGUUACACUGACAAAUAAGUGGUACUAGUGGGUGGGGCUGGGGUAUUUUCUCACAAUAUGUCCUGACAAGUGAUGGAGAAACGGAAUAAUAUACAACAAAGCAUCUAUCCUGAUUGUAAUAAUUCCAACAUGAAAGUGAAGUAAAUCAUUCCACCAUGCGGUGAAAUACAGGGAGAGUAACAACACCCUGGUGAUGGCAUCCUUGCCACACCUUAGUGUUCAUGGUUUGUGGAAGACAGUUCAAUGUUAUUCCCAACCCAGGCUGGUCUGAGCACUGCCAUAAUUGUACAUACUACCCAAUAUAUUUUAAUCAUAUCUGAGGCAGCACAUGAACUUUUAAUCAAGAUUUUGUACAUUUUGCUAUGUCAGUUUGUAGAAAGUACUUAUGUUGUAUAUAUUAUCAAAUUAUGAAAUAAAACUAAAUUAUGAUGA